rnacentral:rRNA from 1 species
AAAUUGAAGAGUUUGAUCAUGGCUCAGAUUGAACGCUGGCGGCAGGCCUAACACAUGCAAGUCGAACGGUAACAGGAAGCAGCUUGCUGCUUUGCUGACGAGUGGCGGACGGGGGAGUAAUGUCUGGGAAACUGCCUGAUGGAGGGGGAUAACUACUGGAAACGGUAGCUAAGACCGCAUAACGUCGCAAGA